rnacentral:lncRNA from 1 species
GGCCCGCUACUAAUAUUUGGUGCAAAGAAAAAUAGAAAAUGUGAUUGUAAAAAAUAUUAAAGACAAAAGUCAAUCUGUUAAAUUAUUUGAACAAAAUAAUAAUGUUACUUUGUUCAUGUAUAUUUUUUUGCGACAACUUUGUUACAAGCAUAUAUGGUAAAAAUAAAAAUAUUCUCCAUAUAGUGCGGAUGGGAUAGUAGAAACAUGUCUUUUCAGUAGAUAUACUUUAUUUUUAUUUGUUUACCAACCCAGCAUGACACUAGACUGUUAUUUAUUUACGCCUGCCCAUAGCAUGGUCAGUAGGCUAUAACCCGCCCAUAUUCCUCACACCGUGGCUUUGGCUCAACUUUUUUAAAUUGGUAAAAAAAAGGAAACAAAAGUACAUUCCAUGAGAAUUGAACCCAGAACCUUGGUGUUGAAAUCACAAACCUUGCCAUUGCGCUAGGUAUUCUACCGUGACAGGUUAUGAUUCUAGUUUUUCUUUGUUCAAAUUCACCCAGCAACGGAUAAAAUACGACAAUAGGAUAAAAAAAUUGCCAACACUCCGCAUCGAACCCAAAACCUACGAGUUGAAAGCAGCAUGCCUUACCACUGAGCUAGCUUCGCUGGUCUGGAGGAAUAAGAUUCAAUUUUAUUGAAAUUUCGUGCGUUGGGGAGAUAGGGAUAAGGCAGCGAGAGAAUAUAGAAAGAAAAGGAAAAAAAUGUCAAUGACUGGUGGGCCACAUUGAAUCUAUUAUGGUC